AUUGAACGCUGGCGGCAGGCCUAACACAUGCAAGUCGAGCGGAUGAGAGGAGCUUGCUUCUCGAUUCAGCGGCGGACGGGUGAGUAAUGCCUAGGAAUCUGCCUGGUAGUGGGGGACAACGUUUCGAAAGGAGCGCUAAUACCGCAUACGUCCUACGGGAGAAAGCAGGGGACCUUCGGGCCUUGCGCUAUCAGAUGAGCCUAGGUCAAAUUAGCUAGUUGGUGAGUUAAUGGCUCACCAAGGCGACGAUCCGUAACUGGUCUGAGAGGAUGAUCAGUCACACUGGAACUGAGACACGGUCCAGACUCCUACGGGAGGCAGCAGUGGGGAAUAUUGGACAAUGGGCGGAAGCAUGAUCCAGCCAUGCCGCGUGUGUGGAGAAGGUCUUCGGAUUGUAAAGCACUUUAAGUUGGGAGGAAGGGUUGUAGAUUAAUACUCUGCAAUUUUGACGUUACCGACAGAAUAAGCACCGGCUAACUCUGUGCCAGCCGCCGCAGUAAUAC
rnacentral:rRNA from 1 species